rnacentral:rRNA from 2 species
ACGGGAGGCAGCAGUGGGGAAUUUUGGACAAUGGGCGAAAGCCUGAUCCAGCAAUGCCGCGUGCAGGAUGAAGGCCUUCGGGUUGUAAACUGCUUUUGUACGGAACGAAAAAGCUUCUCCUAAUACGAGAGGCCCAUGACGGUACCGUAAGAAUAAGCACCGGCUAACUACGUGCCAGCAGCCGCGGUAAUACGUAGGGUGCGAGCGUUAAUCGGAAUUACUGGGCGUAAAGCGUGCGCAGGCGGUUAUGUAAGACAGAUGUGAAAUCCCCGGGCUCAACCUGGGAACUGCAUUUGUGACUGCAUGGCUAGAGUACGGUAGAGGGGGAUGGAAUUCCGCGUGUAGCAGUGAAAUGCGUAGAUAUGCGGAGGAACACCGAUGGCGAAGGCAAUCCCCUGGACCUGUACUGACGCUCAUGCACGAAAGCGUGGGGAGCAAACAGGAUUAGAUACCCUGGUA